CCUACGGGUGGCACCAGUGAGGAAUAUUGGUCAAUGGGCGAGAGCCUGAACCAGCCAUGCCGCGUGCAGGAUGACUGCCCUAUGGGUUGUAAACUGCUUUUCUGCGGGAAGAAAAGCGAGGAUUCGUUCCUUGCUUGACGGUACCACAGGAAUAAGCAUCGGCUAACUCCGUGCCAGCAGCCGCGGUAAUACGGAGGAUGCAAGCGUUAUCCGGAUUCAUUGGGUUUAAAGGGUGCGCAGGCGGGGUGAUAAGUCAGUGGUGAAAGCCCGAAGCUUAACUUCGGGAUUGCCAUUGAAACUGUCACUCUUGAGUACAGUCGGAGACGGCGGAAUGAGUUAUGUAGCGGUGAAAUGCAUAGAUAUAACUCAGAACACCGAUCGCGAAGGCAGCUGUCUAGGCUGAGACUGACGCUGAGGCACGAAAGCGUGGGGAGCAAACAGGAUUAGAUACCCUGGUAGUC
rnacentral:rRNA from 1 species